CCGCCAUUAGCUCAGGAGGAUAGAGCGGUCAUGUCUGUGGAUAUGAGGGUGCAGGGUUCAAGUCCCUGAUGGCGGUCCA
rnacentral:tRNA from 3 species